rnacentral:rRNA from 1 species
GACGAACGCUGGCGGCGUGCUUAACACAUGCAAGUCGAGCGGUAAGGCCCUUUCGGGGGUACGACGAGCGGCGAACGGGUGAGUAACACGUGGGUGACCUGCCCUUAGCUCUGGGAUAAGCCUGGGAAACUGGGUCUAAUACCGGAUAUGACUCCAUGACGCAUGUUGUGGGGUGGAAAGCCUUGUGCGGCUAGGGACGGGCCCGCGGCCUAUCAGCUUGUUGGUGGGGUGAUGGCCUACCAAGGCGACGACGGGUAGCCGGCCUGAGAGGGCGACCGGCCACACUGGGACUGAGAUACGGCCCAGACUCCUACGGGAGGCAGCAGUGGGGAAUUUUUCGCAAUGGGGGCGAACCCUGACGAAGCAACGCCGCGUGGGGGAUGAAGGUCUUCGGAUU